rnacentral:rRNA from 1 species
GACGAACGCUGGCGGCGUGCUUAACACAUGCAAGUCGAACGGAAAGGCCCGGCUUUUGUGGGGUGCUCGAGUGGCGAAGGGGUGAGUAAAACGUGAGUAACCUGCCCUUGACUGUGGGAUAACUUCAGGAAACUGGGGAUAUUACCGGAUAGGAGCUCCUGCUGCGUGGGGGUGGUUGGAAAGUUUCGGCGGUUGGGGAUGGACUCGCGGCUGAUCAGCUUGUUGGUGGGGUAGUGGCUUACCAAGGCUUUGACGGGUAGCCGGCCUGAGAGGGUGACCGGCCACAUUGGGACUGAGAUACGGCCCAGACUCCUACGGGAGGCAGCAGUGGGGAAUAUUGCACAAUGGGCGGAAGCCUGAUGCAGCAACGCCGCGUGCGGGAUGACGGCCUUCGGGUUGUAAACCGCUUUCGCCUGUGACGAAGCGUGAGUGACGGUAAUGGGUAAAGAAGCACCGGCUAACUACGUG